rnacentral:rRNA from 1 species
UUUUUAAUUGAGAGUUUGACCCUGGCUCAGGAUGAACGCUGGCGACGUGGUUAAGGCAUGCAAGUCGAAUGCUACAUUUCGGUGUGGCAUGGCAAACGGGUUAGUAAUGCACAGGAACGUACCCUUAUGUCGUGAAUAACCCCGAGAAAUCGGGGAUAAUACACGAUGGUCUCUUUGGAGUAAAUCCGCCUUUGGGUGGAGCAUAAGGAGCGGCCUGUGUCCUAUCAGCUAGUUGGCGGGGUAAAAGCCCACCAAGGCGACGACGGGUAGGGGACGUGAGAGCGUGACCCCCAACAUUGGCACUGAGACACUGGCCAAACACCUACGGGUGGCUGCAGUCGAGAAUCUUCGGCAAUGGACGAAAGUCUGACCGAGCGACGUCGCGUGGAGGAUGAAGGCCUUUGGGUUGUAAACUCCUUUUUUAAGGGAAGAACUACGGUGACGGUACCUUAAGAAUAAGAGGUUGCUAACUCUGUGCCAGCAGCAGCGGUAAUACAGAGACCUCAAGCGUUAUCCGGAUUCAUUGGGCGUAAAGGGUGAGUAGGCGGAUAUAAUAGUCAAAAGUCAAAUCAUUUCGCUCAACGGAAUGACUGCUUUUGAAACGUUAUGUCUGGAAACAGGUAGAGGUAAACGGAACUCAUGGUGUAGCAGUAAAAUGCGUUGAUAUCAUGGGGAACACCGAAGGCGAAGGCAGUUUACUGGACCUUGUUUGACGCUGAAUCACGAAAGCGUGGGUAGCGAACGGGAUUAGAUACCCCGGUAGUCCACGCCCUAAACGAUGCACACUAGACAUUGGGAGUUUCGACCCUCUCAGUGCCGUAGCUAACGCGUUAAGUGUGCCGCCUGGGAAGUACGGCCGCAAGGCUAAAACUCAAAGGGAUAGACGGGGAUCCGCACAAGCGGUGGAGCAUGUGGUUUAAUUCGACAAUAAGCGAGGAACCUUACCAAGGCUAGAAAUCCUGCUGCAUGCCCCGGGAAACCGGGACAGCCUACGAGGGUGCAGGACAGGUGUUGCAUGGUUGUCGUCAGCUCGUGCCGUAAGGUGUUCCAUUAAGUUGGGUAACGAGCGCAACCCCUACUGUGUGUUACAAGUGUCACACGGGACUGCCCAGCACACUGUGCACAAGCAUAGAAAUAUUGAUAUCAAAAGCCUAAAUUCUAAACGAUUUUAGAAAUUAUUAGCAAAAUUGUUAGUAAACAGGUUUAGAUAUUAAGUUUAAAAUUUCUUUUGGCUUGCGAACAGCGUGUUGGGAGGAAGGCGGGGAUGACGUCAAAUCAGCAUGGCCCUCGACGCCUUGGGCUACACACGUGCUACAAUGGCCGACACAAUGAGUUGCUAAAUCGCAAGAUCAAGCUAAUCUCAAAAAUUCGGUCUCAGUUCGGAUUGAGGGCUGCAAUUCGCCCUCAUGAAGUCGGAAUCGCUAGUAAUCCCGAAUCAGCCAUGUCGGGGUGAAUACGUUCUCGGAUCUUGUACUCACCGCCCGUCACGUCAAGAGAGUCGGUAAUACCUGAAGCGCCUUUAGGGGCACCACGGUAGGAUCGGUAAUAGGGACGAAGUCGUAACAAGGCAUCCGUAGCGGAAGCUGUGGAUGGAUCACCUCCUUUCUA